rnacentral:RNase_P_RNA from 1 species
GGAGUGGGGCAUGCAAGCGCGGUUAGUCAAACUUAGACUAACCGAGGAAAGUCCGGACUCCAUGGGCAUGGUACCGGAUAACAUCCGGAGGGUAAAACCCUGGAUAGGGCCAUAGAAAAGAAAACCACCGAAAGGUAAGGGUGGAACGGUGAGGUAAGAGCUCACCAGACAUGGAGUAAUCCAUGUGCUUGGUAACCCCUACCUGGAGCAAGGUCAAGCAGGGAUAGGGUGGCUCCGCCCAUAUCCCGGGUAGACCGCUUGAGAAAUUUGGUAACAAAUUUCCUAGAUAGAUGCUUGCACAAACAGAAUCCGGCUUAUGCCCCACUCCAAUU